ensembl:lncRNA
GAGAGAAACUUGGCAUGAGGUCCCUGAAUCCCAUUUCUCAGUCCCCAGACUUUCCCAGUCACCACCGCAACGCCAGUAGCCUUGGAGGCUCCAUCAUUCUUGGGGCGGGCCCAUGCACUGGAAAUUGUCUGACUGCAUCCCUGGCCUCUACCCACUAGGUGUCAGUAGCAGCCAUCCCCCUGGUUGGGACAACCCCAAAUGUCUCUGGAAACUGCCAAGGUGUAUGUGUUGGGGGGAGGGGAGCAAAUCCCCCACCACCACCUCCCUAUAAUUGACUUCUGCAGAAGUGAGCAUUGACAUUUAUGAAGCCUAGACAAAGGGACCAUGUUUGGUGGUGUUUAGUUAUUUUUCAGAAUCUGCUUUGUGGGUUAACUGUGAUGAAAUCAAGGUCAGGGUUGGCGUGUCUUAGCUCUGCUAUCACUCAUCGGCUGGGGCUUCUCCGAGCAGAGCCCCUGACCUUGCACGCAGGUAAG